GAUGAACGCUAGCGGGAGGCCUAACACAUGCAAGCCGAGCGGUAUUGUUUCUUCGGAAAUGAGAGAGCGGCGUACGGGUGCGUAACACGUGUGCAACCUGCCUUUAUCUGGGGGAUAGCCUUUCGAAAGGAAGAUUAAUACUCCAUAAUAUAUUGAACGGCAUCGUUUAAUAUUGAAAGCUCCGGCGGAUAGAGAUGGGCACGCGCAAGAUUAGCUAGUUGGUGAGGUAACGGCUCACCAAGGCGAUGAUCUUUAGGGGGCCUGAGAGGGUGGGCCCCCACACUGGUACGGAGACACGGACCAGACUCCUACGGGAGGCAGCAGUGAGGAAUAUUGGUCAAUGGGUGCAAGCCUGAACCAGCCAUCCCGCGUGAAGGACGACUUCCCUAUGGGUUGUAAACUUCUUUUGUAUAGGGAUAAACCUACCCUCGUGAGGGUAGCUGAAGGUACUAUACGAAUAAGCACCGGCUAACUCCGUGCCAGCAGCCGCAGUAA
rnacentral:rRNA from 1 species